rnacentral:rRNA from 1 species
ACCUACGGGUGGCAGCAGUGGGGAAUCUUCCGCAAUGGGCGAAAGCCUGACGGAGCAACGCCGCGUGAAUGAUGAAGGCCUUCGGGUUGUAAAAUUCUGUCUUCAGGGAAGAAAAAAAUGACGGUACCUGAGGAGGAAGCCCCGGCUAACUACGUGCCAGCAGCCGCGGUAAAACGUAGGGGGCGAGCGUUGUCCGGAAUUACUGGGCGUAAAGGGCGCGUAGGCGGUUUACUAAGUCUCAAGGUGAAAACUAUCGGCUUAACCGGUAGCCUGCCUGAGAAACUGGUAGACUUGAGUGCAGGAGAGGGGAGUGGAAUUCCCAGUGUAGCGGUGAAAUGCGUAGAUAUUGGGAGGAACACCAGUGGCGAAGGCGGCUCUCUGGCCUGUAACUGACGCUGAGGCGCGAAAGCGUGGGGAGCGAACGGGAUUAGAUACCCUUGUAGUC